CCAUCACCACGCCCGGCUAAUUUUUUGUAUUUUUAGUAGAGACGGGGUUUCACCAUGUUAGCCAGGAUGGUCUCGAUCUCCUGACCUCGUGAUCCGCCUGCCUCGGCCUCCCAAAGUGCUGGGAUUACAGGCGUGAGACACUGCACCCGGCCUACUCUUUUUUUUGUCCGAGAAACAUUCACGAAUAAUUUCUUUCUAUAUAGAAUACCAGUUCUUUCAGCUGUAAUAUCCUCUUGUUAUACUGGAGCCCCGUUGGUAUGAUGAGAAACUGUGGAGGCGGUGAAGCAUUCUACAACCUUCCAAUUAAGUCUCAGCCUUUUACCUGACUUGCAUCUUUGACCUGUGAUCACCGAGAAUCAAAAGGGAAGUGUUUCUUCUUGUAUAGUUUCUCCCCUCCCAAUUAGGUGAGGAACGCUAGAGGGGGCUAUGGUGAGAUCUCUGGGACAAGGCUCUGGUAAAGUACUUUCCUCUGAAGACAAGGCCUUUGCUAUGGAGAAGGUUCUGGACAUAUUUUACCAAGAUUAUCCGUCUACUCUCCCUACCUAAGCCACAAGGGUACCUUUGUUGACUCUUCGCGGUGAGAACCUAGUGGGGAUCCUGGAGAUAAAGUCAAUGAAAAUAUGGUGGCCCCAAGGAGUUUCUCAGUCUCAAGCCAGUCUACACUCAGCCUCCAGAAACUUGUCAAAAUUACUAAGUGUUCCUACCAGUUUAUGGCUCCAGUGACUUCUAUUUUAGUGCCUGCCUCAGCAAACAGCCUUCUGCAGAUACCUUCUCCCACUUGUGCAAUUAUCUCUUCAAAGUUGAAUACUUUUUGCCCACCACAUGAGUUGAGCUGGGUUUCGUGCCAUCCACAAAAUUCAUGCUUUUUCUACUGCUUUAUGUUGCCCAAAGACUCAAGGACUGAAGUGGCUUCAGCUAUUAAAUUCUGUGAGUUUAUACGUGUAUGAACAUUGGCAGUGGGGGAAGAAGUCACAAAACAAAGAGGCCCUCUUUUCAGCUCUGCUCCAGUAAGCAGGACCUUUUUCACUUUGUGGCAGAAUAAAUGCAAAUAAAU
rnacentral:lncRNA from 1 species